rnacentral:rRNA from 1 species
CAGUAGCCGCGGGAAUACGGAGGGUGCAAGCGUUAUCCGGAUUCACUGGGUUUAAAGGGUGCGUAGGCGGAUCUGUAAGUCAGUGGUGAAAUCUCCAGGCUUAACCUGGAAACUGCCGUUGAUACUAUAGGUCUUGAAUUUUGUGGAGGUUAGCGGAAUAUGUCAUGUAGCGGUGAAAUGCAUAGAUAUGACAUAGAACACCAAUUGCGAAGGCAGCUGGCUACACAACUAUUGACGCUGAGGCACGAAAGCGUGGGGAUCAAACAGGAUUAGAUACCUGCGUAGUCCCUGUCUCUUAUAA